CCCCUCUCAGGGUCGCACCUGGAGAGUUUCCAGGACUCUACCAGUCUUGACUAGGGGAGGGAGAGUCAAGCAAAAGUAUAACCAUUCCAUUUCUAGCUUGGGCACAGACCAGCAAGUGGAAGGCAAUCUGCUACAAGU